UGAGAUUUUAUGUGACUGCCUAUUUCGAUACCAAAGAGUGUGGUACAACGAAAUCCUAAACUCCAACUGGCUUUCGGUAUCUAUUGCCUCUUGUUUGAUGGUGUUUGGAUGGGAAAAAAUGACCUAAUUGUGGCUGGAAAACCUAAAAAUAGAGAACACGUGCGACAUUAAGAUCAACUGCAAGACAUAAAUAGGAAACAAAAUUGAUACAAUAUGUUGUAUUGCGAAUGAGUGAAGCACUGCUGGAAGGUUUUUGCAGAAAAAAAUUGGUGUAGUAAUUGAGGGGCUUCCUGUAUCAGCAAUAACAUGCUACAAGGUGGGAACUGUUCUGUUGGUGGCCUGUGGAAAAGACGUAGUAUGGUGGGUGGUCUGUGGACAAGCCUAAUGGUUCUUGACCCAUAGAAAAUUUCCUGUACAUGUUCUAUGGACAAGCUCUGGUGUGUGACCUGUGAACAACCCAUAGAUGUGGCCUGUGAUCAAACCUUUACAAUUUACUUGUGAACAGGCCUGGGUAUUUCUUAAGCCAGGCAAGUGGGCUUGGGGACAAGGCUUCAGAAAUAGCCUGUGGACAAGCCUUGCUACAUGUCUAUGGCCUUUAUAAGAGCCUUGGUACACAUGUGGCCUUUAGACAAGCCCAGUGGUAUUUGGACUCACAGUGGGCAACUCUGGCAUAGACUCUGGCACAUGGCCUCUGGACAAGCAUUGGUUUAUUUUCUGUAUCUGUGCACAAGCCCUAGUUUAUGGCCUAUUGACAGGCCUUGGUACAUGGUAUUUGGACUAGCCCUGAUAGUUGGCCUGUGGACAGGGUGUGGAAGGUGGUCAUUGGAUAAGCCUUGGUAGGUGGUCUGUGGACAAGCCCUGGUUUGUGACUUGUGGACAAGCCUCCAUAUGUGGCCUGUGGACAAGGAGUGGUAGGGGGCCUGUGGACAAGCUUUGGUAGAUGACUUGUGGAAAACUUGGGUACGUACCUUUGGACAAGUGUUGGCUCAUCACCUGAUACAUGGUCUGUGGACAAGCCUUUGUUAUGACCAAACUGCAACAGAUCUAUCAUCCAAAAGCAUCAGAUGUUGACAGCGCAAGCCUUCUAUUGGAGUUGAAGAGUACCGAGAUCAGCAAUACAAGCUCAUCUUGGUAG